rnacentral:lncRNA from 1 species
CGAGCAACGUUCGGAAUAAUUUAAGAUGGACAGGCAGUAACGGCACCAUGACUUCAUGUCGAAGGAGACAUUCCUCCUUUGGUUAUUUGUCCCCUCUGCCAGCUGGUAAUGGAAUAAUGGAAAAACAAUUGCAUUGGUUUUUUUAGCCAGCGUCUAUUGCCAACCAAACUUCCUGGAAGCUGUGUGCUCCCUGAGUGAGUCAGCAAAUGCUUGCUCAGAUGAUACGAGGCUCUUUGAAAGAACUAUUUGUGAAACAACCAAUUGUCGAAGAGCGGUUGAAAAUCUUAUUCCUUAAGAAGUUCUCCCAUUUCAACACUUGUUGGUGUAAAACUCGCAGGCCCAUGGAGCUGUUCUCCGACUGUAUCAAAUGACCAACAGUCUGAGAAUGAGGCGGAUCAGAUGCAGAACAACGAGAGAGGGGAAGUGCUUGAUGUCGCUGCUCCAGAGCAGGAUGUCUGACGGUGGGGACGUGAGAGUACUGGGCUAAGAAGUAAGAAUGCAAUAGAGAAAUCGAUUCACUGUGGCUUUGUGUGCAUGUGCUGGCGUGUGCAUUAAAAGCAAAGGAAAUGAUCUGUGAAGUGAUUAAAAUGAGUCUGUCAGCAGAUGGUUCUACCUUACCGAGUUCGUCGUAUCUGUACUUGCAUCAAUACUUGAUAAUUACCCACGAAUGUCUAGCUAAAUGGAAACCUUUUGGAAUUGGCUGUCAUUGAGCUGAACCAGCCCACACCAAGGACUGAGACCUUUUGGAAAUCACCCCAGCCUUCUCUUGUCUGUCCCACGCUGACAGGACAUCUCCCCACCUAUCGGGAGAGUAGGCUGUCAGAAAACUCCGUGAGAUUCCACCGGCCCCCCUUUCCAACGCUCCCCCGCCGCCCCCACCACCCCCCGCCCCAGCAGUCGGGCUGCUCGUCUGGAAGUGGCGGACUCCUUCACGCAAAUGUUUUCUCCACAUGGAACGUAGCAACAACUUUGGCAAUUCUCCCCUGGAACGGAGGGUUUUUUUCAAGUCUUGUCGGCUGCCUCAGGCACAGUUCUGAUCCUGAGACCCCAAGAGACUGUCUGAGGCUGCAGCCGGAAACAGGACUUCAAGCAGUGGCCCUUCUCUCAGAUCUCAGCACAUCGGGAA